rnacentral:lncRNA from 1 species
GCAUACAUAUAUUUUAGGCCUGCUCUGAUACCAACUGAAGGGAAAGAAACUAUUUCUCCUCUGAUUGCCCAGGUUGCAUCUAAAAUUUUUUCUAUUUAUCUUUAUGAUUAAGGAUCAAAUUCUUACCUAAUUAGUAGUAGAACCAGAGAUCAAAUCUCAAUUUAUCUAGAUUAAACCUUCACGGAGGCCUGAAUAUGCAGACCCUCUACUUCGCAUGCACGCCAGAUGCCGC